rnacentral:rRNA from 1 species
UACAGGGGGGGCAAGCGUUGUUCGGAAUUACUGGGCGUAAAGGGUUCGUAGGUGGCCAACUAAGUCAGACGUGAAAUCCCUCAGCUUAACUGGGGAACUGCGUCUGAUACUGGAUGGCUUGAGUGUAGGAGAGGAAUGCGGAAUUCCAGGUGUAGCGGUGAAAUGCUUAGAUAUCGUCAAGAACACCUAUAGCGAAGGCAGCUUACUAGGCUGUAACUGACGCUGAGGCACGAAAGUGUGGGGAUCAAACAGG